rnacentral:lncRNA from 1 species
UCCAGUAAUAGGCCUGUGUACUGCCAUCUCCCAGUUUGAAAAGAGCGAGGUUUUUGCUGGGAUACGAAUCACACACGUCUCCAGAGGGCACCUGCCUUUCUGGAACUGGAGAGAUAAUUUCCUCCUGGGAGAGGCUCCUGAGAUCUUUAAUACUGAAAGUUUAAAUAUAUCAGUGGCUGUGAAGCUCAGCUAGCAAGCUAAGAAUUUCUCAAAAAAAAUCAUAGGAUUUUAAAGUGAGGAAAGACAAAAAGGCAGUUUUCCAUCCAGCAACCCCCUCGCCUUGGGCUGGGCUCCCUGUGGCUUUGUCUGGAAUUUCAGUACCCACCAGCACGAAGGGCAGCUGUGGAGCAAAGCCAGGCAGUGGCUGGGAGGCCCCCCACCUCCCUCAGACAGCUUUCUUCUCCUCAUAGGGAGCAGUGGGCACAGUUGCAUCAGGAUCCAGGCAAAGAACUGGACUUAACCUCUCCAUCCAAGACUUCUCAGGAUGCAGAAGCUGGGCUUUGUAGCCAUUGCAAAGGGAAGUUGAGGCAGACUGUGAUCCAGGGGGCAUUUCCUGCCUGGACCCUUGGGACAGUGCCUGGAGGGCCAGGCUGGGGGUUCUAAGCACCUGAGCUGAGGUUCUCAUCUUAUUGGGGGACAUUUGCCCCAGGGGUGGGAGGGACCCCACUCGUUAGUUAUAGUGAUGGUUCUGAGUAAGUGCUAAGGAGUCUGGCACUCACAGUCUCGCUGUGAGAAUAGCAAAUUAGGUAAAUAGAACCCCAUCCCAAUUUUCCGCCUCUACAGUUGCUGUGGUGACAGUGGGAUGAAUGCCACUCCUUUUAAAGCCCUGCAUUGUAUUAGCACCUUCAGAUCAACCACGGGCUUGUCCCUCCAAGGACCACUAGGAGGUGAGCAGGGCAGGCACCAUCACCCCUGGUUUACAAGCUGAGACAGCCCCAGGGGAGAUCUGGAAGCUGGAAUUGUCAAGGUAAAACUGGGAAAGUCACAUGGCAAAGCACCUAAAGGAAAUGGGACUAGAUCCCAUGUUUUCUGUGUCUAAUUCCAGUUCUCUUCCUGCUGCACAUCAAGGAAACGGAAUCUCAGCCACGACUGUCAAGUUCACUCUCAGAGUCCACUCUGCUCCUCGGUCGGGCCCUGAGCUGCCCAUGGGUGCCCAGCACUGGCCGUGGGUGCUGUUACCAGGUUGCCCGGGGCAAGGUCAGGAUGCUCGGCUGCAGUUAAAAUCAUUUCACUGUCUUCACUGUUGGAAAAUAGUU